rnacentral:rRNA from 1 species
CCGCCUGGGGAGUACGGCCGCAAGGUUAAAACUCAAAUGAAUUGACGGGGGCCCGCACAAGCGGUGGAGCAUGUGGUUUAAUUCGAUGCAACGCGAAGAACCUUACCUGGUCUUGACAUCCACGGAAGUUUUCAGAGAUGAGUAUGUGCCUUCGGGAACCGUGAGACAGGUGCUGCAUGGCUGUCGUCAGCUCGUGUUGUGAAAUGUUGGGUUAAGUCCCGCAACGAGCGCAACCCUUAUCCUUUGUUGCCAGCGGUCCGGCCGGGAACUCAAAGGAGACUGCCAGUGAUAAACUGGAGGAAGGUGGGGAUGACGUCAAGUCAUCAUGGCCCUUACGACCAGGGCUACACACGUGCUACAAUGGCGCAUACAAAGAGAAGCGACCUCGCGAGAGCAAGCGGACCUCAUAAAGUGCGUCGUAGUCCGGAUUGGAGUCUGCAACUCGACUCCAUGAAGUCGGAAUCGCUAGUAAUCGUGGAUCAGAAUG